rnacentral:rRNA from 1 species
GAUGAACGCUGGCGGCGUGCCUAAUACAUGCAAGUCGAGCGAACGGACGAGAAGCUUGCUUCUCUGAUGUUAGUGGCGGACGGGUGAGCAACACGUGGAUAACCUACCUAUAAGACUGGGAUAACUUUGGGAAACCGGAGCUAAUACCGGAUGAUAUUUUGAACCGCAUGGUUCAAAAGUGAAAGACGGUCUUGCUGUCACUUAUAGAUGGAUCCGCGCUGCAUUAGCUAGUUGGUAAGGUAACGGCUUACCAAGGCAACGAUGCAUAGCCGACCUGAGAGGGUGAUCGGCCACACUGGAACUGAGACACGGUCCAGACUCCUACGGGAGGCAGCAGUAGGGAAUCUUCCGCAAUGGGCGAAAGCCUGACGGAGCAACGCCGCGUGAGUGAUGAAGGUCUUCGGAUCGUAAAACUCUGUUAUUAGGGAAGAACAUAUGUGUAAGUAACUGUGCACAUCUUGACGGUACCUAAUCAGAAAGCCACGGCUAACUACGUG